rnacentral:misc_RNA from 1 species
UUACAAAGGGAGGGAUUUACUGAGCUAAGCAACACUUGGUUGGGGGACAUCGCAAUACCACCAUGUGCAAAAGGUGUCAACGUGAAGAAAUACAAGACUAUAUGUUAAAAAAGGUUGCAGCAAAGGACUUUGAUAAAACUUCUUUUCCUGAUUUUGAAGAUGUUGAGAGGAUGGGUGAUGAUGAAAACAAAGAUGAAAUUGGUGCAAACAUAGAAGUCCCACAGCAAAGAAGUAAUAAAGUUGCAAAUAUGAGAAAGAAGCCAAGGACAAAGGGUCCUAUUGAUGUAUUUUUUGCUCAAAAUGCAGAAAGGGCAGUGAAAGAUAGGAAGAAUGCAAAGUUGAAGCAAACCACCGUAAAUAAGGCAUGUAAAAAGGAAUUGCGAAUAAAAGCAUGUAAGGAUAUAGCUCGGUGAACAUAUGAUGCUGCAAUUCCUUUUAAUGCCAUCAAUUAUCCAAGUUUUCAAGUUAGGGUAGAGUCUAUUGAACAAUUUGGGAUUGGCUAUGAAAAGUGUUUUCAUGAGGUGAAGGUACCUUUAUUGAAUGAAGAAGUUGCUGAAGUGAAGGAUUCAUUAAAGUUCUAUGAAGAAGAAAGGGCAAAGUAUGGUUGUUCCAUAAUGGGAAAUGGUUGGACUGAUAAAAAAC